GGGCCUAUAGUAAAGUGGUAUUACGCGGCAUUCGCAUUGCCGAAUCCGGGGUUCGACUCCCCGUAGGUCCA
rnacentral:tRNA from 2 species